rnacentral:rRNA from 1 species
CAAAGAGGCCACACCCGUUCCCAUCCCGAACACGGAAGUUAAGCUCUUUUG